rnacentral:rRNA from 1 species
GGGUUGUGAGGUUAAGCGACUAAGCGUACACGGUGGAUGCCCUGGCAGUCAGAGGCGAUGAAGGACGUGCUAAUCUGCGAUAAGCGUCGGUAAGGUGAUAUGAACCGUUAUAACCGGCGAUUUCCGAAUGGGGAAACCCAGUGUGAUUCGUCACACUAUCAUUAACUGAAUCCAUAGGUUAAUGAGGCGAACCGGGGGAACUGAAACAUCUAAGUACCCCGAGGAAAAGAAAUCAACCGAGAUUCCCCCAGUAGCGGCGAGCGAACGGGGAGCAGCCCAGAGCCUGAAUCAGUGUGUGUGUUAGUGGAAGCGUCUGGAAAGGCGCGCGAUACAGGGUGACAGCCCCGUACACAAAAAUGCACAUACUGUGAGCUCGAUGAGUAGGGCGGGACACGUGGUAUCCUGUCUGAAUAUGGGGGGACCAUCCUCCAAGGCUAAAUACUCCUGACUGACCGAUAGUGAACCAGUACCGUGAGGGAAAGGCGAAAAGAACCCCGGCGAGGGGAGUGAAAAAGAACCUGAAACCGUGUACGUACAAGCAGUGGGAGCACGCUUAGGCGUGUGACUGCGUACCUUUUGUAUAAUGGGUCAGCGACUUAUAUUCUGUAGCAAGGUUAACCGAAUAGGGGAGCCGAAGGGAAACCGAGUCUUAACUGGGCGUUAAGUUGCAGGGUAUAGACCCGAAACCCGGUGAUCUAGCCAUGGGCAGGUUGAAGGUUGGGUAACACUAACUGGAGGACCGAACCGACUAAUGUUGAAAAAUUAGCGGAUGACUUGUGGCUGGGGGUGAAAGGCCAAUCAAACCGGGAGAUAGCUGGUUCUCCCCGAAAGCUAUUUAGGUAGCGCCUCGUGAAUUCAUCUCCGGGGGUAGAGCACUGUUUCGGCAAGGGGGUCAUCCCGACUUACCAACCCGAUGCAAACUGCGAAUACCGGAGAAUGUUAUCACGGGAGACACACGGCGGGUGCUAACGUCCGUCGUGAAGAGGGAAACAACCCAGACCGCCAGCUAAGGUCCCAAAGUCAUGGUUAAGUGGGAAACGAUGUGGGAAGGCCCAGACAGCCAGGAUGUUGGCUUAGAAGCAGCCAUCAUUUAAAGAAAGCGUAAUAGCUCACUGGUCGAGUCGGCCUGCGCGGAAGAUGUAACGGGGCUAAACCAUGCACCGAAGCUGCGGCAGCGACGCUUAUGCGUUGUUGGGUAGGGGAGCGUUCUGUAAGCCUGCGAAGGUGUGCUGUGAGGCAUGCUGGAGGUAUCAGAAGUGCGAAUGCUGACAUAAGUAACGAUAAAGCGGGUGAAAAGCCCGCUCGCCGGAAGACCAAGGGUUCCUGUCCAACGUUAAUCGGGGCAGGGUGAGUCGACCCCUAAGGCGAGGCCGAAAGGCGUAGUCGAUGGGAAACAGGUUAAUAUUCCUGUACUUGGUGUUACUGCGAAGGGGGGACGGAGAAGGCUAUGUUGGCCGGGCGACGGUUGUCCCGGUUUAAGCGUGUAGGCUGGUUUUCCAGGCAAAUCCGGAAAAUCAAGGCUGAGGCGUGAUGACGAGGCACUACGGUGCUGAAGCAACAAAUGCCCUGCUUCCAGGAAAAGCCUCUAAGCAUCAGGUAACAUCAAAUCGUACCCCAAACCGACACAGGUGGUCAGGUAGAGAAUACCAAGGCGCUUGAGAGAACUCGGGUGAAGGAACUAGGCAAAAUGGUGCCGUAACUUCGGGAGAAGGCACGCUGAUAUGUAGGUGAAGUCCCUCGCGGAUGGAGCUGAAAUCAGUCGAAGAUACCAGCUGGCUGCAACUGUUUAUUAAAAACACAGCACUGUGCAAACACGAAAGUGGACGUAUACGGUGUGACGCCUGCCCGGUGCCGGAAGGUUAAUUGAUGGGGUCAGCGCAAGCGAAGCUCUUGAUCGAAGCCCCGGUAAACGGCGGCCGUAACUAUAACGGUCCUAAGGUAGCGAAAUUCCUUGUCGGGUAAGUUCCGACCUGCACGAAUGGCGUAAUGAUGGCCAGGCUGUCUCCACCCGAGACUCAGUGAAAUUGAACUCGCUGUGAAGAUGCAGUGUACCCGCGGCAAGACGGAAAGACCCCGUGAACCUUUACUAUAGCUUGACACUGAACAUUGAGCCUUGAUGUGUAGGAUAGGUGGGAGGCUUUGAAGUGUGGACGCCAGUCUGCAUGGAGCCGACCUUGAAAUACCACCCUUUAAUGUUUGAUGUUCUAACGUUGACCCGUGAUCCGGGUUGCGGACAGUGUCUGGUGGGUAGUUUGACUGGGGCGGUCUCCUCCUAAAGAGUAACGGAGGAGCACGAAGGUUGGCUAAUCCUGGUCGGACAUCAGGAGGUUAGUGCAAUGGCAUAAGCCAGCUUGACUGCGAGCGUGACGGCGCGAGCAGGUGCGAAAGCAGGUCAUAGUGAUCCGGUGGUUCUGAAUGGAAGGGCCAUCGCUCAACGGAUAAAAGGUACUCCGGGGAUAACAGGCUGAUACCGCCCAAGAGUUCAUAUCGACGGCGGUGUUUGGCACCUCGAUGUCGGCUCAUCACAUCCUGGGGCUGAAGUAGGUCCCAAGGGUAUGGCUGUUCGCCAUUUAAAGUGGUACGCGAGCUGGGUUUAGAACGUCGUGAGACAGUUCGGUCCCUAUCUGCCGUGGGCGCUGGAGAAUUGAGGGGGGCUGCUCCUAGUACGAGAGGACCGGAGUGGACGCAUCACUGGUGUUCGGGUUGUCAUGCCAAUGGCACUGCCCGGUAGCUAAAUGCGGAAGAGAUAAGUGCUGAAAGCAUCUAAGCACGAAACUUGCCCCGAGAUGAGUUCUCCCUGACUCCUUGAGAGUCCUGAAGGAACGUUGAAGACGACGACGUUGAUAGGCCGGGUGUGUAAGCGCAGCGAUGCGUUGAGCUAACCGGUACUAAUGAACCGUGAGGCUUAACCUUACAACGCCGAAGCUGUU